AGCAAACAACAAAGAAAUAGGAUGUUUUGUUUACGGUGCUACAGUUUUGAAGAAUAUAACAACAGCUAUUUGAAGGUGAUGUGUGUUUUAUAUCCGUAUUUUUUAUUUUUAUUUUUUUGCCUAUGAAUAAAAAAUAAUCUGAUGUAUCAAGGAUUUGUGAUUUUUAAUGUGGAUUUUUUAUUAUAGUAGAUAUUGCAGUACUGACCAAAAGUACCGGUACCAAAAAUGCCAAAAAGUGGGUACGAAUCGGUACCGAAAAUAAUUUGGUACAGUACUGGUCUCAAGUACCAAAUGCCCAUCCUUACCUUCUAUAUAUUAGUAGGUUAUUUUUUUUGUAUUUUAAACGGGUCAAACAUAUUAUGUUUUAAAUGAUUUAACUAAAGAGAAUUGCUUUGAACAAAUCUAACUGGCUAGAUGAGUCAAGCUUGAUCAAACGGUUUGAAACUCAGCGGAAGUGUAUGUAAAUACACCAAAACCUAAAACGAGUCCUCAUUAAUGUUUAGAAUACAUUGUAAUAAUACAGAUUUUGUAUAACCAAAAAUGAUAAAUGAUGUGUUUGUGGUCCGACUACCCAACCCAUUUCAGCUCACACUAAUGAUUACCUGUGUUGACCCAUUGCCACCUCCACUAUAAAGUUUACAUAAUUUAUGUAUGAAUAGAGGCGUUCACACCUUAUUUUCAAAUUGUGAAACCAUCCAAGCCGUUUAUCAUGUCUAGCAACUGCAACAUCGUGUCCAGUAGCAUAUGCAACAAUGGCACAACAACGAGCAAAGGUAGUCAUCCACUUUUUACAAGGAAUGUGGUUCAAUAUUACGCACCGGCUAGCUGAACAGGUCGAUAGGGUGCGCACCAGCUAGCUGGGGAGUUUGAUUGGCUUUUACCCUAUGUUCAGGAACCGCUUGAUCAUAUCCUGUUCAAGAUGGGUCUUUCUAAAAUCAAGAUUCAAGAGCUGAUCUCCAACUAAGGUCUCUUUUGCUAUGUACUUUACCUGAACUUGGGGAUUUUUAUAUUAUGACUAGAUUAGCCA